GUAUAUAAGAUAAUAUACAUGGCCUAAUGGGAAUAAAAUUGGUCUUGGGUCAACACAGUCUCACCCCUAUUCGUCACAUACUGCCGUUUGGUCAUUUCCCCCUCACGUCCAUAAGCCGACGUUGAGGGUACCCCCUAUUCGUCGCUUGACAACGUAGAGGGUCGUCUGAUAGAUUUGAGUGCAAAUCCCUCAUCUUUGAAUUUUGACGAAAUGGGGUUAUCCAUCCAGCGGUUUGCCUGCGCUGGAAAGUAUGGUUUCAGGUGAUUGAUUUUAUGCUGCAAAUGUGUAUUUUGCAGUAGCGUGCGGCGCAAAUACUGUUAAAAUCAUUCAUUGGUGUGGUGACUAUACAUUUUCGUGGGGCAGAAACCGGUAUCACGACUUUUUCUGUCUCUUUUUUAUAUAAUUUUGGGCUAACGUUACAUUAAAAUGACAUAUUUACAGGACUGUAUAUUGGCUGUAUGCUUAAUACAUGCCUUAAUUUAGGUGGGAUAUUUUAUAAUUUUCGAUCACAUACUGCUGUUUGGUCAUUUCCCCCUCACGUCCAUAAGCCGACGUUGAGGGUACCCGACUGUAACAGUAUAUGCGCUGCACGCUACUGCAAAAUACACAAUUUGCAGCAUUAAAAUUAAUCCCCUGAAACCAUACUUUCCAGCGCAGGCAAACCGCUGGAUGGAUAACCCCAUUUCGUCAAAAUUCAAAGAUGAGGGAUUUGCGCUCAAAUCUAUCAGACGACCCUCUACUUUGUCAAGCGACGAAUAGGGGGUACCCUCAACGUCGGCUUAUGGACGUGAGGGGGAAAUGACCAAACAGCAGUAUGUGAUCGAAAAAUUAUAAAAGAUAUCCCACCUAAAUUAAGGCAUGUAUUAAGCAUACAGCAAAUAUACAGUCCUGUAAAUAUGUCAUUUUAAUGUAACGUUAGCCCAAAAUUAUAUAAAAAAAGAGACAGAAAAAGUCGUGAUACCGGUUUCUGCCCCACGAAAAUGUAUAGUCACCACACCAAUGAAUGAUUUUAACAGUAUUUGCGCCGCACGCUACUACAAAAUACACAUUUGCAGCAUAAAAUCAAUCACCUGAAACCAUACUUUCCAGCGCAGGCAAACCGCUGGAUGGAUAACCCCAUUUCGUCAAAAUUCAAAGAUGAGGGAUUUGCACUCAAAUCUAUCAGACGACCCUCUACGUUGUCAAGCGACGAAUAGGGGGUACCCUCAACGUCGGCUUAUGGACGUGAGGGGGAAAUGACCAAACGGCAGUAUGUGACGAAUAGGGGUGAGACUGUGUAGACUGUGUUGCUUGGGUUUGAAUAAAGUAUUGUAACAUAAAAAAAAUUGCUCACUUCAGCUUGAAAAAGCUUAUUUAAAGCUUAUUUUAAGCUUAAGUGAACUCCAUUAUUGGGGUUAUAUUGAAUUAAAUACAUUCAUUAAUUCUAGUCCAUUUAAUUUUUUUUUUUAAAUUUUUUUUAUAGCUUGUCUGAACCAGAGAUUUGGAUGGGCCAUCAGUUAUUUCCACCUCCUUGGGUGCUGACAUUGUAGUCAGUUGAAGAACUUGUGGUGAAAAAAGGAGAAGAAGAAAAAAGACAGGAUGACUACAUUUAUCACACCAUUUCAUCCAUAUCUCUCUGAAUUUUCUGCUUGAUGGUUAUAUUGAAGUGGGGAGGGUAUGCAUGUAUAUGUGAGAGAGAAAGAGCUGGAGUGUGUCCAUUUCCUGUGCAAUCUAGUUGAAUUAUCUCGGACACCUUUGAUCUAGUUUUUGCAUGUUUUCCUCUCCAUUAGCUCUGUGAUGUACUACAUCUACAUAAAAUUUUAAAACGAUGUUGCUGUGUUCUGAAGCUGUCAGUAUCUAAUCUUUCGGCGAUGCUGGGAUUUCAUUUUCUCCGGGUGAGGCGAAAGGAACGUUUUGCCCGUCCCCCCAAAGGAACCUCAGCUAAUGACUCAAGAUGCAUGAUUUCCUCUGAGGGUAGAGUUGCAGGAAAACAUUUUGACUGAAAGCCGAGCUCACUCUCGCUCUCAUAUAUAUUUAUUGCUCUAAGAAUUGCAAACGCUGUUCUGUGUUGAAGCAUGCAUCUCUGGGUGAC
ensembl:lncRNA